CCUACGGGAGGCAGCAGUGAGGAAUAUUGGUCAAUGGCCGAGAGGCUGAACCAGCCAAGUCGCGUGAGGGAAUAAGGCCCUACGGGUCGUAAACCUCUUUUGCCGGGGAGCAAGGGCGGGGACGCGUCCCGGCCCGGAGAGUACCCGGAGAAAAAGCAUCGGCUAACUCCGUGCAAGCAGCCGCGGUAAUACGGAGGAUGCGAGCGUUACCCGGAUUUUUUGGGUUUAAAGGGUGCGUAGGCGGGCUGUUAAGUCAGCGGUAAAAAUGCGGGGCUCAACCCCGUCCGGCCGUUGAAACUGGGGGCCGUGAGUGGGCGAGAAGAAGGCGGAAUGCGUGGUGUAGCGGUGAAAUGCAUAGAUAGCACGCAGAACCCCGAUUGCGAAGGCAGCCUUCCGGCGCCCUACUGACGCUGAGGCACGAAAGUGCGGGGAUCGAACAGGAUUAGAUACCCGUGUAGUC
rnacentral:rRNA from 1 species